rnacentral:rRNA from 1 species
ACGGGAGGCAGCAGUGAGGAAUAUUGGGCAAUGGAGGGAACUCUGACCCAGCCAUGCCGCGUGAGUGAGAAGGUUUUCGAAUUGUAAAGCUCUUUCGGGUGUGAAGAUGAUGACGGUAGCACCAGAAGAAGCCCCGGCAAACUUCGUGCCAGCAGCCGCGGUAAUACGAAGGGGGCGAGCGUUGUUCGGAAUUACUGGGCGUAAAGGGUGUGUAGGCGGUUGUAUAAGAUAGUGGUGAAAUGCCAGAGCUCAACUUUGGAAUUGCCAUUAUGACUGUGCGGCUAGAGUGAUGUAGAGGAUAGCGGAAUACCCAGUGUAGAGGUGAAAUUCGUAGAUAUUGGGUAGAACACCGGAGGCGAAGGCGGCUAUCUGGGCAUAAACUGACGCUGAGGCACGAAAGCAUGGGGAUCAAACAGGAUUAGAUACCCUGGUA